UUCCCACCCAGACAAGCAAGAGGCAUUUUCAGAGUCCAAGGACACAUUCCAGGCAGGUACAAACCCCCAAGGAGGGUGCAAAGCAGGACAAGGGAGGGGUGAGACAUGAGAGGAGUUGCGGCCUGGGGAGACUCCCCGAGACCAAACAGAGAGUCCUGGGGCUCAUCCACCCUGGAGUUUACUGUGUGUUUCCAGCUGUUUGUGUUCCCAUUUAAUUUGCAUCGUCCACAUUUUGCAAUGUCCGUCAACACCAGCCUCAAUGCUUUCCCCCUAUAAAUCCAGUCAGAUGGGGAAAACCAGGCUCCAAACCUCUCCAUUUGGGCCUCACACAAUUUGUUUAAGUGUUUUGGGGUAAAUGGAUCAAUUUCUGCUACACCCAGUCUCUUCCUCAGUGUUUUCAUUUAUUUUCCCUAUGCUCUACGUGGGGCUACCUUGGAAGGUGACUCGGAAACUACAGUGGUACCUCGGGUUAAGUACUUAAUUCGUUCUGGAGGUCCGUUCUUAACCUGAAACUGUUCUUAACCUGAGAUACCACUUUAGCUCAUGGGGCCUCCUGCUGCUGCCGUGCUGCUGCCACAUGAUUUCUGUUCUCAUCCUGAAGCAAAGUUCUUAACCUGAGGUACUACUUCUGGGUUAGCGGAGUCUGUAACCUGAAGCGUCUGUAACCCGAGGUACUACUGUACAGCUAAUCCAGAAUGUGGCAGCUAGACUGGUGACUGGGAGUGGCCACCGAGACCAUAUAACACCAGUCCUGAAAGAGCUACAUUGGCUCCCAGUACGUUUCCGAGCUCAAUUCAAAGUGUUGGUGCUGACCUUUAAAGCCCUAAACAGCCUCGACCCAGUAUACCUGAAGGAGCGUCUCCACCCCCAUCGUUCAGCCAGGAUACUGAGGUCCAGCUCCGAGGGCCUUCUGACAGUUUCCUCACUACGAGAAGCGAAGUUACACGGAACCAGGCAGAAGGCCUUUUUGGUAAUGGCGCCCUCCCUGUGGAAUACCCUCCCUUCAGAAGUCAAACAGAUACAACAGAAACUAUACAACUUUUAGAAGAUGUCUGAAGGCAGCCCUGUAUAGGGAAGUUUUUAAUGUUUCAUGUAGCAAUAUGUGUGUGUGUAUAGGUUUGUGUGUGCCCGUGUGUCCUCCUUUUCAUCUCUCAGAUUUGCACAAAACCAGAAAAGGUACAAGCAAACCACAUUUUUUUAAAAAAUCUGCACCAGAUAAAUUGAGCAGCAAACUGAAAAUUGUGCACCGAGAAUUUACAGUUGCUUUUAUUUAAUUUCCAGACUUCCUGUUUCUGGAGCACUCCUGAAAGGACCUUAUCCCCUUAUAUUGAUCCAUCAGAUUUGCACAAAACCAGAAAACAGCACGAGCAAAUUUGCAACUGCCCAGCUGUGUGGUUUUGUGCAUUUCCUGUGGGGCGGCGGUGGGGGAGAAGAAGAAGAAGAAGAAGAAGAAGAAGAAGAAGAAGAAGAAGAAGCGUGCACAGCUAUCUGUGUAUGUGUUGGUAAUUAAUUGGCAUUAUAGUAUCAACAACUUAGAAGGUGAGGGCAAACACAGCAUGCCUCCUGGAAACACCAAAAUUUCUCCUUUGUAGUUCAGUCAGUAGAUCAUGGGCCUCUUAAUCUCAGGGUUGUGGGUUUGAGCCCCGUGUUGGGCAAAAGCUUCCUGCAUUGCCCUCAUGGUCUCUUCCAACUCUACAGUGAUUCUUUGAUUCUGUGAUUCCACGAAAUUCAAAUACAAGCAGGGGUGGACUACUCUGGUUGAAUUCAAAGGGGGAGGGGAGCGGAUUAACAGCUAUACAGUGGUACCUUGGUUCUCAAACGCCUUGGUUCCCAAGCACCAAAAACCCAGAAGUAAGUGUUCCAGUUUUCGAACGUUUUUGGGAAGCCAAACGUCCGAUGCGGCUGUUGACUACUGUUUCCCGGGUGCCUGCACCAAGCAGAAGCUGCGCCUUGGUUUUUGAACAUUUUGGAAGUCAAACGGACUUCUGGAACGGAUUAAGUUUGAGAACCAAGUUUGAGAACCAAGAGUGGACAUGUCCCUGGAGGCUUACAUUUGCCCACUUUAAACCGUGUCCAAGGCAGAUGAACCUCUCUGCUUGCCUAGUCAUGAUCUCUUUUUUCCCUUCCCUUAUUUUCAAGGCAACUGCCUCCAGGGACCAAAGGCAGCAAUUACUUUGCGAUAUCUUGAGGGCACUGCAGUUGUGACACAGGCUAUUUGCCGCAGAGCCCUGCAUUUUAUUUAUGGGGCCAACGUGAGCUUGUGCUUAAUAUCCAUGUGUGUCUUAUCUCCCCAAAUCUGGCUAAUGGGUGACAUGUUCAGGACAGGGAAGCCCUUUUCCUGAACUAGACUGUUUCCUGCAUUUGUCUCUCAACUACUCUCAAUUAAACACUUAAAGGUUUAUAGAGCACCGUACAGGGCAGGGAAAACUUCCAAGGCUAUGUGAAGAACUCGUGACUAACCUCGCUGGUGGGCACGUGACUGGCCGAUUCAGGACUGGAAGACCUGAGACCUUGGGUACAUAAAGCCACCUGAAUUUCCCAGAGGAACAGAACAUCUCCGGGAGAAGACAUCCAGGACAGGAGAAGCAUCACUGCCUUGUAAGUAGGAACCUCUUUAUUCACUAGUAGAAAGACUCUUAAUCUCAGGGAUGUGGGUUGGAGCCCCAUGUUGGGCAAAAGAUUCCUGCAUUGCAGGGGGUUGGACUAGAUGACCCCUCCGAUCCUUUCCUGCUCUAUAAUUCUAUGAUUAGUUGGUUGUCCCCCAUGUUUCAGAAGCCCGACUGACUUCAGCUAGAAGUCAGGCAUUUAGCUUCUCCACUCACAUGCUGUGGAAAUCCUCUUCUGGCUGAGAUUUGGCAGGCCAGGAGUCCUUGUUGCUAACUUUCAUACAUCUCUUGGCAGGCCUAUUCAGUUGUUUAAAUUUUCCCCUAAAGAGCCAGCCAUUUCUUACGAUCAUUUUUUUUUUAAAAAAAUGGUACCUUAUGUUUUCUUGCACCUGCAUACGUUGUUGUAGUCUGUCUUGACAUUUUAUGCGAGUGGGCGGUUUAGAAAUAGUUUAAUGAAUUUUUUUUAAAAAAAACCAGACUAAUGGGAAAGAAUACAUUUAGUUUCUGGACUGAACAUUAAGGUCUUCUGGUCUCCAGUGGGCUGUAUCACAAAGCCUCUGCGAUAGCCACAUGUAUCUCUUUCCGGCUGUUUCAUUUUAUCACUUUAUUUUAAACUAUACUACCGAUUGUGUAUUAUGAUAACAUUACUGUACUAAUGUUAUUAUAAUACACAAUUUGCAGUACAGUCCCAUGUUUUUAUUCUCGGAUUUUUCCUUUUUUUUAAAAAAAACAUGGUAUCAUGACAGCCACAGACAGACAGGUUCUCUCUCUCUUCCCCCACCCCUGCUCCCUGCUCUAUCCAAGAAACGCAGAAGUUCAUUAAAGGCUUGAAUCUGUAUCUUACUGGGAGAGCUUUUUGUAGAUGCCAGGGUUUCCUGCAUAUCUGAAUUCACAGAUGAUGCGUUGCUGCGGGAACUUUUGCAUACCUCGGCCGCAGCAACUUGUGCACUCAUGCCGUAACAACAGAAGCAGGGGAAGUGAUGAAGAUUGAUUUAUUUCUCAUGCUCCUCUGUGUGCAGAGAAGAAAAAUAUGUACCUUUAUAUCCACAGGCUUUUUCCUCUGCGAAUUCAGGACCGUGGGAUUGGUUUAUUAUUUAUUUAGCAAAGAACAGGUCACCAUUUUUCCUUGAACCGCUCAAAUCAACAUUUAACAUUAUAUUUGGGUUGAUUUAGGCCAGGGGUAGGCAACCUAAGGCCCGGGGGCCGGAUACGGCCCAACCGCCUUCUCAAUCCUGCCCAUGGACGGUCUGGGAAUCAGCAUGUUUUUACAUGAGUGGAAUGUGUCCUUUUAUUUAAAAUGCAUCUCUGGGUUAUUUGUGGGGCAUAGGAAUUUGUUCAUUUUUAUUUUUUUUUUCAAAAUAUAGUCUGGCUGUCCACAAGGUCUGAGGGAUGAUGGACUGGCCCAUAGCUGAAAGUUUUUAAUGUAUGAUUUUAGUGUAUUUUUGGUUUCUGUGGAAGCCGCCCAGAGUGGCUGGGGAAACCCAGCCAGAUGGGCGGGGUACAAAUAAAUUAUUAUUAUUAUUAUUAUUAUUAUUAAAAGGUUGCUGACCCCUGAUUUAGGCUCCAGUCGAGUAAGCCCUACUGAACCCUGCCAGGCUUAAUUCUGAGCAAAGACACAUAGGAUGAGCUGUUCGCCUUAAAUGGUCCCCGUGUAAACGAUGUACUUGGACUGAAGAUCACUUUUAAGAGGCAUUUCCCAAUCACAAAAAUUAGAGGGCAAAAACUUCUGAAGCGGAGCAAAGUUUAGCAGGGUCAGCUUGUCUCCCUUGCUCUCUAUCAAAUCAAUACACCAGCGCAUGGGUGUUAUGGAAGAGGUAAGGUGAAAAAGAGCCUGGUCGACUUUUUAACAGCUCAGCCCCUGUACAUCAAACAGCAGCCCAUAGGCAGAAAGAAACCAAGUGAAGCUUUUCCCAGCACACAGGUGAAGUGAUGGCUUCAUUUGAGCAUGCAGGCCUUCCGUUAAACACAAAGAUACAAGGCUAGUUAACAUAGCAGGGGAUUCUAGGGAGGCCUUUUUGCACCUUGUCUGUCUUAGGGCCGCAGUGAUACAUUUCACCCCCAUUUCUCCAAAGCAGGUGAAUCCAGGAAGCUGCCAAGAUGUGUAGUUGCUGCUUUAGUUCGUGUUCGGGUCAGUGUUCUCUCUGGGACUGUUUUGUGAAUACAGUGAAGAGUUUCCUAAGGCCCUUGAAGCAUUUGCUUUUCGGGUUCAAAGGUAAGACCGGUGGUUUGAUGAAAACAGCAUCACCGUACACCAGCUUUCCCCAGCCUGGUUUCUUCCAGAUGUCUUGGACUACAAAUCCCAUCAUCCUUGAGAACUGGGGAUGAUGGAUGUUGUAGUCCGAAACAUAUGGGGGGCCCAGCAGAUCAGAGAAAGCUGCUGUACAGACACGGAAUUUACUUCUAACAAAAACAUACAGAACAUCUCUGGUUGCUUUUAAAUGAGCUCAUUUAAGGCCUAUUUGUCUUGCUUAGCCUUCCCCAAUUAACCUCUCUUGUUUGAUGUCCUAUGCUGGCCUCACAGGGUUGAGUGUUGAGUGUUUCGUUUCCACUUUUAUUGUAUUAUUCUCCACUAUUCCUGGAAGCUGCCUUGCGAGGAUGUAGCGCUGCAAAACAUGGGAUAGAAAUGUUGUAAAUAAAAGAAUGCUCUCUAGAAGACGGGGCGAAACGUACGCUGUACGAUAAACAAAGGAAAGUUUUCUCAGUUGAGACUUGUGGAACACCAAAAGAGCUUGGAAAGAGCUGAAAAGCACCUCUUUGCCUACAAACACACCACCAGGCGCUAGGAAUCUUCUGGUCCAUUGCUGGCACCUGGCCCUUUGAGCAGGUCCUGAUCUGUGCCACCAGAAACCAACCAAGCUUUGACUCCUGGGGAGACCGCAGCUGAACACCCCUUAGAGGCUCCACCAGUGGGAGAAGGGGCAAGGCAUUCACCUGCCUGAGAGGAAGGAAGGAGCCGAGUUGUUGUCCCUCAGGGUGGUGAGGCAGGGAGUCUAACAGAGAGGGAGGGAGAUGUCCAGUCAAGACCCAGGAGAUGUGCUGGGCAUUUAAAUAAGCUCCUCUGCAGAGAUGGAGGAGGUUUUGAGUACGUGCCUCUCUGGCAGAGGCUAUCCUUAGGUGGUCCCCUCAAGCUCUGUUGGAUAACGCCAUGGAGGGAGCUCCUGCAAGCUAGGUUUACAUAGCCCCCUGGUGCUAUGGUGGAAAGGCACAGAAAUCCCAGACUUGAGACUACCUAGGGCAAGGACAUUGAGGCAGAAUGCCCUGGUUCUCCUGGAUGAGAGUCUCUCCUGGGGUCCUGAGGAAGCUGGCAGCUGAGCCUUACUUCAACAUUGACAAUAGGACAGCAUCCUUCACUGCACCUGAGGGGAGCAGGCUAGCUAGAAGCAGGCAGGGAGGGCAGGCAAGGCAGACUCUAUAUCCUCCCAUGACUUUGCCAAGAAGCUGGCAGAGGCCGAUGGAAGCUGUAAUCCAAAACAUCGGCACUGCACCAGGUUGGCAAAUGCUGCUCUGACACCUUGCUGCCCAAGGAACCUGCUUCCUUUCUGGGUCUCUGGCCUUUUGUGCUUCUCCCCGGUUCACAUGUGUGUGGUGUUUUUUUCCCCAGAACUGCCUGAGCGUCCUCUCGAGGCUCCCAAGCUUCCCAAGGUUGCUGAGAAGACAAAGUGAGGCGGGGCAGAACGUCUGCUGAUUCCCUUCCAUGAUGGACUCGGCCUCCUCUUCUCCUCCAACGCUGGCAGGAGCAUGGAUGGGUCUCCCCC